rnacentral:rRNA from 1 species
AACACAUGCAAGUCGAACGGACUUACAUUGAAGCCUAGCGAUAUGUAAGUUAGUGGCGGACGGGUGAGUAACGCGUGGGUAACCUGCCUUGUACUGGGGGACAACAGUUGGAAACGACUGCUAAUACCGCAUAAGCGCACAGCUUCGCAUGAAGCAGUGUGAAAAACUCCGGUGGUACAAGAUGGACCCGCGUCUGAUUAGCUGGUUGGUGAGGUAACGGCCCACCAAGGCGACGAUCAGUAGCCGGCCUGAGAGGGUGAACGUCCACAUUGGGACUGAGACACGGCCCAAACUCCUACGGGAGGCAGCAGUGGGGAAUAUUGCACAAUGGGGGAAACCCUGAUGCAGCAACGCCGCGUGAGUGAAGAAGUAUUUCGGUAUGUAAAGCUCUAUCAGCAGGAAAGAAAAUGACGGUACCUGACUAAGAAGCCCCGGCUAACUACGUGCCAGCAGCCGCGGUAAUACGUAGGGGGCAAGCGUUAUCCGGAUUUACUGGGUGUAAAGGGAGCGUAGACGGUUUUGCAAGUCUGAAGUGAAAGCCCGGGGCUUAACCCCGGGACUGCUUUGGAAACUGUAGAACUAGAGUGCAGGAGAGGUAAGUGGAAUUCCUAGUGUAGCGGUGAAAUGCGUAGAUAUUAGGAGGAACACCAGUGGCGAAGGCGGCUUACUGGAC